GGCCCUGACUGAAGACUAGCAGUUGUACUAUAGCUGUUGGUUUCAAACAGAGGCCCAAAGGACUAUCUUCCU
rnacentral:miRNA from 1 species